GGNCCUUAUGUCAUCUAUUGCCAAUCUUACACAUGCAAGUAUCUGCACACCCGUGAAAACGCCCUCAGCCCCUUGACCAAGGAAGAGGAGCUGGUAUCAGGCACAACCAAUAAGCCCACGACACCUAGCCACGCCACACCCACAAGGGUACUCAGCAGUGAUAAACAUUGUUUAUAAGCGUAAGCUUGAAUCAGUUAGGGCAAAGAGGGCCGGCAAAUCCGGUGCCAGCCGCCGCGGCUACACCGUUAGGCCCAAGUUGACACACACCGGCGUUAAGCGUGAUUAGAGUGAUUACACAGAUUAGAGUUAAACCCAAAUUUAGUCGUGAUACACUUGUCCCCGGGAAACCCAAAAACGAAAGUUACUCUAACCAACCCACUUGACCCCACGACAGCUAGGACACAAACUGGGAUUAGGUACCCCACUAUGCCUAGCCGUAAAACAUAUACUCACCCCAACAAAUCGCCAGGGAAUUACGAGCCCAAGCUUAAAACCCAAAGGACUUGACGGUGUCCCACCCACCUAGAGGAGCCUGUUCUAUAAUCGAUUCCCCCCGAUAAACCUCACCACUUCUAGCCAACUCAGCCUGUAUACCUCCGUCGUAAGCUUACCAUGUGAACGAAACCAGUGAGCCCAAAGAUCCCACAUCAAUACGUCAGGUCAAGGUGCAGCUUACGAACUGGAAAGAAAUGGGCUACAAUUUCUACAAUAGAACAAACGAAAGACUACAUGAAACACAGUCACUGAAGGCGGAUUUAGCAGUAAAAAGGAAAUAGAGAGUUCUUUUUAACAAGGCGCUGGGACGCGUACACACCGCCCGUCACCCUCUUCAAAUGC
rnacentral:ncRNA from 1 species